rnacentral:rRNA from 1 species
CAAAGUCUGACGGAGCACGCCGCGUGAGCGAUGAAGGUUUUCGGAUCGUAAAACUCUGUUGUUAGGGAAGAACAAGUGCCAUAGUAACUGAUGGCACCUUGACGGUACCUAACCAGAAAGCCACGGCUAACUACGUGCCAGCAGCCGCGGUAAUACGUAGGUGGCAAGCGUUGUCCGGAAUUAUUGGGCGUAAAGCGCUCGCAGGCGGUUCUUUAAGUCUGAUGUGAAAUCUUACGGCUCAACCGUAAACGUGCAUUGGAAACUGGGGAACUUGAGUGCAGAAGAGGAGAGUGGAAUUCCACGUGUAGCGGUGAAAUGCGUAGAGAUGUGGAGGAACACCAGUGGCGAAGGCGACUCUCUGGUCUGUAACUGACGCUGAGGAGCGAAAGCGUGGGGAGCGAACAGGAUUAGAUACCCUGGUAGUCCACGCCGUAAACGAUGAGUGCUAGGUGUCAGGGGGUUUCCGCCCCUUAGUGCUGAAGUUAACGCAUUAAGCACUCCGCCUGGGGAGUACGGCCGCAAGGCUGAAACUCCAAAGUGUUGACGGGGCGCCGCACCAAGCGGUGGAG